rnacentral:rRNA from 1 species
AUUGAACGCUGGCGGCAGGCCUAACACAUGCAAGUCGAACGCGUGGCGGACGGGUGAGUAAUUUCUGGGAAACUGCCUGAUGGAGGGGGAUAACUACUGGAAACGGUAGCUAAUACCGCAUACACUCGGAUGUGCCCAGAUGGGAUUAGCUAGUAGGUGGGGUAACGGCUCACCUAGGCGACGAUCCCUAGCCGGCCUGAGAGGGUGACCAGCCACACCGGAACUGAGACACGGUCCAGACUCCGACGGGAGGCAGCAGUGGGGAAUAUUGAACAAUGGGCGCAAGCCUGAUGCAGCCAUGCCGCGUGUAUGAAGAAGGCUUUCGGGUUGUAAAGUACUGUCGGCGGGGAGGCGUUACCCGCAGAAGAAGCACCGGCUAACUCCGUGCCAGCAGCCGCGGUAAUUC